rnacentral:rRNA from 1 species
GACAGAGGGUGCAAACGUUGCUCGGAAUUACUGGGCGUAAAGGGCGCGUAGGCGGCCGGCUAAGUCGAACGUGAAAUCCCCGGGCUCAACCCGGGAACUGCGUCCGAUACUGGUCGGCUUGAAUUCGGGAGAGGGAUGCGGAAUUCCAGGUGUAGCGGUGAAAUGCGUAGAUAUCUGGAGGAACACCGGUGGCGAAGGCGGCAUCCUGGACCGACAUUGACGCUGAGGCGCGAAAGCCAGGGGAGCAAACGGG